UUUGAUCCUGAACAGCCUGGCAGUG
rnacentral:piRNA from 1 species